rnacentral:rRNA from 1 species
UUGUGAGGUUAAGCGACUAAGCGUACACGGUGGAUGCCCUGGCAGUCAGAGGCGAUGAAGGACGUGCUAAUCUGCGAUAAGCGUCGGUAAGGUGAUAUGAACCGUUAUAACCGGCGAUUUCCGAAUGGGGAAACCCAGUGUGAUUCGUCACACUAUCAUUAACUGAAUCCAUAGGUUAAUGAGGCGAACCGGGGGAACUGAAACAUCUAAGUACCCCGAGGAAAAGAAAUCAACCGAGAUUCCCCCAGUAGCGGCGAGCGAACGGGGAGCAGCCCAGAGCCUGAAUCAGUGUGUGUGUUAGUGGAAGCGUCUGGAAAGGCGUGCGAUACAGGGUGACAGCCCCGUACACAAAAAUGCACAUACUGUGAGCUCGAUGAGUAGGGCGGGACACGUGGUAUCCUGUCUGAAUAUGGGGGGACCAUCCUCCAAGGCUAAAUACUCCUGACUGACCGAUAGUGAACCAGUACCGUGAGGGAAAGGCGAAAAGAACCCCGGCGAGGGGAGUGAAAAAGAACCUGAAACCGUGUACGUACAAGCAGUGGGAGCACGCUUAGGCGUGUGACUGCGUACCUUUUGUAUAAUGGGUCAGCGACUUAUAUUCUGUAGCAAGGUUAACCGAAUAGGGGAGCCGAAGGGAAACCGAGUCUUAACUGGGCGUUAAGUUGCAGGGUAUAGACCCGAAACCCGGUGAUCUAGCCAUGGGCAGGUUGAAGGUUGGGUAACACUAACUGGAGGACCGAACCGACUAAUGUUGAAAAAUUAGCGGAUGACUUGUGGCUGGGGGUGAAAGGCCAAUCAAACCGGGAGAUAGCUGGUUCUCCCCGAAAGCUAUUUAGGUAGCGCCUCGUGAAUUCAUCUCCGGGGGUAGAGCACUGUUUCGGCAAGGGGGUCAUCCCGACUUACCAACCCGAUGCAAACUGCGAAUACCGGAGAAUGUUAUUACGGGAGACACACGGCGGGUGCUAACGUCCGUCGUGAAGAGGGAAACAACCCAGACCGCCAGCUAAGGUCCCAAAGUCAUGGUUAAGUGGGAAACGAUGUGGGAAGGCCCAGACAGCCAGGAUGUUGGCUUAGAAGCAGCCAUCAUUUAAAGAAAGCGUAAUAGCUCACUGGUCGAGUCGGCCUGCGCGGAAGAUGUAACGGGGCUAAACCAUGCACCGAAGCUGCGGCAGCGACGCUUAUGCGUUGUUGGGUAGGGGAGCGUUCUGUAAGCCUGUGAAGGUGUGCUGUGAGGUAUGCUGGAGGUAUCAGAAGUGCGAAUGCUGACAUAAGUAACGAUAAAGCGGGUGAAAAGCCCGCUCGCCGGAAGACCAAGGGUUCCUGUCCAACGUUAAUCGGGGCAGGGUGAGUCGACCCCUAAGGCGAGGCCGAAAGGCGUAGUCGAUGGGAAACAGGUUAAUAUUCCUGUACUUGGUGUUACUGCGAAGGGGGGACGGAGAAGGCUAUGUUGGCCGGGCGACGGUUGUCCCGGUUUAAGCGUGUAGGCUGGUUUUCCAGGCAAAUCCGGAAAAUCAAGGCCGAGGCGUGAUGACGAGGCACUACGGUGCUGAAGCAACAAAUGCCCUGCUUCCAGGAAAAGCCUCUAAGCAUCAGGUAACAUCAAAUCGUACCCCAAACCGACACAGGUGGUCAGGUAGAGAAUACCAAGGCGCUUGAGAGAACUCGGGUGAAGGAACUAGGCAAAAUGGUGCCGUAACUUCGGGAGAAGGCACGCUGAUACGUAGGUGAAGCGACUUGCUCGUGGAGCUGAAAUCAGUCGAAGAUACCAGCUGGCUGCAACUGUUUAUUAAAAACACAGCACUGUGCAAACACGAAAGUGGACGUAUACGGUGUGACGCCUGCCCGGUGCCGGAAGGUUAAUUGAUGGGGUUAGCGCAAGCGAAGCUCUUGAUCGAAGCCCCGGUAAACGGCGGCCGUAACUAUAACGGUCCUAAGGUAGCGAAAUUCCUUGUCGGGUAAGUUCCGACCUGCACGAAUGGCGUAAUGAUGGCCAGGCUGUCUCCACCCGAGACUCAGUGAAAUUGAACUCGCUGUGAAGAUGCAGUGUACCCGCGGCAAGACGGAAAGACCCCGUGAACCUUUACUAUAGCUUGACACUGAACAUUGAGCCUUGAUGUGUAGGAUAGGUGGGAGGCUUUGAAGUGUGGACGCCAGUCUGCAUGGAGCCGACCUUGAAAUACCACCCUUUAAUGUUUGAUGUUCUAACGUGGACCCGUGAUCCGGGUUGCGGACAGUGUCUGGUGGGUAGUUUGACUGGGGCGGUCUCCUCCUAAAGAGUAACGGAGGAGCACGAAGGUUGGCUAAUCCUGGUCGGACAUCAGGAGGUUAGUGCAAUGGCAUAAGCCAGCUUGACUGCGAGCGUGACGGCGCGAGCAGGUGCGAAAGCAGGUCAUAGUGAUCCGGUGGUUCUGAAUGGAAGGGCCAUCGCUCAACGGAUAAAAGGUACUCCGGGGAUAACAGGCUGAUACCGCCCAAGAGUUCAUAUCGACGGCGGUGUUUGGCACCUCGAUGUCGGCUCAUCACAUCCUGGGGCUGAAGUAGGUCCCAAGGGUAUGGCUGUUCGCCAUUUAAAGUGGUACGCGAGCUGGGUUUAGAACGUCGUGAGACAGUUCGGUCCCUAUCUGCCGUGGGCGCUGGAGAACUGAGGGGGGCUGCUCCUAGUACGAGAGGACCGGAGUGGACGCAUCACUGGUGUUCGGGUUGUCAUGCCAAUGGCACUGCCCGGUAGCUAAAUGCGGAAGAGAUAAGUGCUGAAAGCAUCUAAGCACGAAACUUGCCCCGAGAUGAGUUCUCCCUGACCCUUUAAGGGUCCUGAAGGAACGUUGAAGACGACGACGUUGAUAGGCCGGGUGUGUAAGCGCAGCGAUGCGUUGAGCUAACCGGUACUAAUGAACCGUGAGGCUUAACCUUACAACGCCGAAG